GAUGAACGCUGGCGGCGUGCCUAACACAUUCAAGUCGAACGGAGUUGUGAGGAAGCUUGCUUCUGAUCAACUUAGUGGCGGACGGGUGAGUAAUGCAUGAGCAACCUGCCUUAAAGGGGGGGAUAACACAGAGAAAUUUGUGCUAAUACCGCAUGUUUUACGAGAAGGGCAUCCUUCUUGUAAUAAAGGAGCAAUCCGCUUUAAGAUGGGCUCAUGUCUGAUUAGAUAGUUGGUGAGGUAACGGCUCACCAAGUCUACGAUCAGUAGCCGGACUGAGAGGUUGAACGGCCACAUUGGAACUGAGAUACGGUCCAGACUCCUACGGGAGGCAGCGGUGGGGAAUAUUGGGCAAUGGGCGAAACCCUGACCCAGCAACGCCGCGUGAAGGAAGAAGGCCUUCGGGUUGUAAACUUCUUUUACCAGGGACGAACAAAUGACGGUACCUGGAGAAAAAGCAACGGCUAACUACGUGUCAGCAGCCGCGGUAAUAC
rnacentral:rRNA from 1 species